GGGCACAGCGCCCGAGUCAGACUGCGGAAAUAUUCCUUGCUGCCUUCCUUCUGAGA
rfam:Erinaceus europaeus unplaced genomic scaffold scaffold01047, whole genome shotgun sequence